AAGUAAUACGGAUAAUCAAG
rnacentral:snRNA from 1 species